rnacentral:rRNA from 1 species
AGUGAACGCUGGCGGUAGGCCUAACACAUGCAAGUCGAACGGCAGCACAGUAAGAGCUUGCUCUUACGGGUGGCGAGUGGCGGACGGGUGAGGAAUACAUCGGAAUCUACUUUUUCGUGGGGGAUAACGUAGGGAAACUUACGCUAAUACCGCAGACGACCUACGGGUGAAAGCAGGGGAUCUUCGGACCUUGCGCGAUUGAAUGAGCCGAUGUCGGAUUAGCUAGUUGGCGGGGUAAAGGCCCACCAAGGCGACGAUCCGUAGCUGGUCUGAGAGGAUGAUCAGCCACCCUGGCACUGAGACACGGUCCAGACUCCUACGGGAGGCAGCAGUGGGGAAUAUUGGACAAUGGGCGCAAGCCUGAUCCAGCCAUACCGCGUGGGUGAAGAAGGCCUUCGGGUUGUAAAGCCCUUUUGUUGGGAAAGAAAAGCAGCAGGUUAAUACCCCGCUGUUCUGACGGUACCCAAAGAAUAAGCACCGGCUAACUUCGUG